UACGUAGGGUGCAAGCGUUAAUCGGAAUUACUGGGCGUAAAGCGUGCGCAGGCGGUUCGUUGUGUCGGUGGUGAAAGCCCCGGGCUUAACCUGGGAAUGGCCAUGGAAACUGGCGAACUGGAGUGUGGCAGAGGGGGGUGGAAUUCCGCGUGUAGCAGUGAAAUGCGUAGAGAUGCGGAGGAACACAGAUGGCGAAGGCAGCCCCCUGGGCUAGCACUGACGCUCAGGCACGAAAGCGUGGGGAGCAAACAGG
rnacentral:rRNA from 1 species